ensembl:lncRNA
CAGGAUUAAAACUCAGAUCUAACUCCCGAGUUCAGGCCCUUAAACAUGAGUUGAUUGGGACUCCAGUUGUCCAGAAGGGCAGAAUGUCUACAUUCUCUUUCUAGUACCUGCCCACUCCAGUGGAUCUAAGAACUUCCCAGGCGUUUCCUCAUAAACAAGGGGUCUGUUCAUCCUGCUUGCUCCUAGGUAACCCCUAGAACCAGAACUCCAGUGUCUCCUUUGACCCCAGAAGACCAUAACAGCUUCCAACAGAAGAUGGUCAUUUUAUAAAACAAAGGCUGGAAACCUGGUGCUAUGGACUUCUUGUUUGUAUCACCCCAAACUUCAUACACUGAAGCCCAGGAGAUUAUAAGUGUGUAUAUGCUGACUAAGGUCUGUCUAGUCAAGGCUAUGGUAUUUCCUGUGGUCAUGUAUGGAUGUGAGAGUUGGACUGGGAAGAAAGCUGAGCACCAAAGAAUUAAUGCUUUUGAACUGUGCUGUUGGAGAAGACCUUCAGAGUCCCUUGGACUGCAAGGAGAUCCAACCAGUCCAUGCUGAAGGAGAUCA